rnacentral:rRNA from 1 species
UACGUAGGGUGCAAGAGUUAAUCGGAAUUACUGGGCGUAAAGCGUGCGCAGGCGGUUUUGUAAGUCUGACGUGAAAUCCCCGGGCUCAACCUGGGAAUUGCGUUGGAGACUGCAAGGCUAGAAUCUGGCAGAGGGGGGUAGAAUUCCACGUGUAGCAGUGAAAUGCGUAGAGAUGUGGAGGAACACCGAUGGCGAAGGCAGCCCCCUGGGUCAAGAUUGACGCUCAUGCACGAAAGCGUGGGGAGCAAACAGG